CAGUCGCCGCGGGAAUACGUAGGUGGCGAGCGAUGUCCGGAUUUAUUGGGCGUAAAGGGAGUGUAGGCGGUCUUUUAAGUCUGAUGUGAAAGCCCACGGCUCAACCGUGGAGGGUCAUUGGAAACUGGGAGACCUGAGUGCAGAAGAGGAGAGCGGAAUUCCAUGUGUAGCGGUGAAAUGCGUAGAUAUAUGGAGGAACACCAGUGGCGAAGGCGGCUCUCUGGUCUGUAACUGACGCUGAGGCUCGAAAGCGUGGGGAGCAAACAGGAUUAGAUACCCCGGUAGUCCCUGUCUCUUAUAA
rnacentral:rRNA from 1 species